rnacentral:rRNA from 1 species
AUUGAACGCUGGCGGCAUGCCUUACACAUGCAAGUCGAACGGUAACAGGUUAAGCUGACGAGUGGCGAACGGGUGAGUAAUGUAUCGGAACGUGCCCAGUCGUGGGGGAUAACUGCUCGAAAGAGCAGCUAAUACCGCAUACGACCUGAGGGUGAAAGCGGGGGAUCGCAAGACCUCGCGCGAUUGGAGCGGCCGAUAUCAGAUUAGGUAGUUGGUGGGGUAAAGGCUCACCAAGCCGACGACCUGUAGCUGGCCGGAGAGGACGACCAGCCACACUGGGAGUGAGACAGGGCCCAGGCUCCUAAGGGAGGCAGCAGUGGGGAAUGUUAGACAAUGGGCGGGAGCCUGGUCCAGCCAUGCCGCGUGCGGGAAGAAGGCCUUCGGGUUGGAAACCGCUUUUGUCAGGGAAGAAAAGGUUCUGGCUAAUACCUGGGACUCGUGACGGUACCUGAAGAAUAAGCACCGGCUAACUACGUG